UCCGGUUUGUCACCGGCAGUCUGGCGUGAGUCCCCAACUUAAUGCUGGCAACACGCCACGGGGGUUGCGCUCGUUGCGGGACUUAACCCAACAUCUCACGACACGAGCUGACGACGGCCAUGCAGCACCUGUGCGGGCUCCCGAAGGAGGACCGUAUUUCUACGGCUUCACCCCGCAUGUCAAGUCCUGGUAAGGUUCUUCGCGUCGCGUCGAAUUAGGCCACAUGCUCCGCCGCUUGUGCGGGCCCCCGUCAAUUCCUUUGAGUUUUAGCCUUGCGGCCGUACUCCCCAGGCGGGGUGCUUAAUGCGUUGGCUGCGGCACCGCGGGGGUCGAUACCCGCGACACCUAGCACCCAUCGUUUACGGCGUGGACUAC
rnacentral:misc_RNA from 1 species